rnacentral:rRNA from 1 species
AUGCCGGAGGGCGCGACGGCGCUGGAGAUCCCCACAGACCGCCCGGCCUUCGUCACCCGUGUGUACUUCGACGGCCCUCCGGCCGCCACCGCCGUCCGCCUGGCCUUUCCGCCGCGCACGGAGCGCCCGGAGUCGAUCAAGGUGUACAUGAAGAACUUCAAGCGCGAGCGCGACCCCGAGGCGCUCUACCACGCGCGGCGCUUCGCGCACGCGUACAUCACGCCGCCGGAGGCCCCCUGCCGCGCUGACCCGGGGCCCUUCAUCCGCCGCGCCUUCCGCACCCUGGCGCUCGACCUGCCCCAGAACUUCGAGCUCCUCCCGGUCCCGGCCACCUGCCAUGACGACAUGGCGGUGCGCUUCCGCGCGCCCGACCACCGGGAGGCGGCCAUGCGCCGGCAGCCGUUCGUGCUGGACGGGGUCACCGUGAGGCUCGUGCGCGAGGCGGAGACGCCCAACGUCCGGCGGGUCUCCAACGAGCGGCGCUGCAUGCGCGCCUACCCCGUCGAGCAGCGCACGGAGGAGAUGGUCAGGGACAACUGCAGCCAGUUCGGGUUCGUGCGCGAGAUCGACCCGGCCUGCUUCGCGGCGCCCGACCUCUCCACCGUCCGCGUCGUCCUCCAGAACGAGCACCCUCGUGAGGUUCCCCACGAGCUCCGGAUCCUCUACGAUGAUGGCUUCACCAGCGUCGUCCCAGUCGAGAUCGUCGGAGUUUGGCACCGCUCACACUCAUGCGAUGUCAAUGGGCAGUACGUGCCUCUUGAAUUGAUGGAUUUCAAGCUCAAACAAAUUUGA